AGUUUGAUCAUGGCUCAGGAUGAACGCUAGCGGAAGGCUUAAUACAUGCAAGUCGAGCGGUAGGUGGCUUCGGCCAUUGAGAGCGGCGCACGGGUGAGUAACGCGUACAUGACCUGCCUGUCAGAAGGGGAUAGCCCUGGGAAACUGGGAUUAAUACCCUAUGGUAUUGAUAUUAUGAAUGAUAUCAAUUAAAGUUGAGGCGCUGACAGAUGGAUGUGCGUCUGAUUAGCUAGUUGGUAGGGUAACGGCCUACCAAGGCGACGAUCAGUAGGGGGCGUGAGAGCGUGGUCCCCCACACGGGUACUGAGACACGGACCCGACUCCUACGGGAGGCAGCAGUAAGGAAUAUUGGUCAAUGCCCGCAAGGGUGAACCAGCCAUUCCGCGUGGAGGAUGGAGGCCCUAUGGGUUGUAAACUUCUUUUAGAUGGGAAGAAAAUGCUAGAUGUAUCUGGUACUGACGGUACCAUCAGAAUAAGCACCGGCUAACUCCGUG
rnacentral:rRNA from 1 species